AGAGUUCGAUCCUGGCUCAGAACGAACGCUGGCGGCGCGUCUUAAGCAUGCAAGUCGGGCGGGAUCCACGCGCUUGCGCGUGGUGAGAGCGGCGGACUGGCGAGUAACACGUGGGCGACGCGCCCUCCGGACGGGAAUAGCCUGCAGAAAUGCAGGGUAAUGCCGGAUGCGAACGCACGGGCUGGAGCCGUGCGUGGAAAGCCCCCACGGGGGCGCCGGAGGAGCGGCCCGCGGCCCAUCAGCUGGUAGGCGGUGCAAGGGACCACCUAGGCUACGACGGGUACCCGGCCUCAGAGGGCGGACGGGCGCAUUGGGACUGAGAUACGGCCCAGACUCCUACGGGAGGCAGCAGCUAAGAAUAUUCCGCAAUGGGGGGAACCCUGACGGAGCGACGCCGCGUGGGCGAGGAAGGCCGGAAGGUUGUAAAGCCCUUUUGCGCGCGAGGAAUAAGGGGAGGAGGGAAUGCCUUCCCGGUGACUGUAGCGCGCGAAUAAGCGCCGGCUAAUUACGUGCCAGCAGCCGCGGUAACACGUAAGGCGCGAGCGUUGUUCGGAAUCAUUGGGCGUAAAGGGCGUGUAGGCGGCCCUGCAAGCCUGGCGUGAAAUCCCGGGGCCCAACCCCGGAACCGCGCUGGGAACUGCUGGGCUUGAGCCGCUGUGGCGCAGCCGGAAUUCCAGGUGUAGGGGUGAAAUCUGUAGAUAUCUGGAAGAACACCGAUGGCGAAGGCAGGCUGCGAGCGGACGGCUGACGCUGAGGCGCGAAGGCGCGGGGAGCGAACAGGAUUAGAUACCCUGGUAGUCCGCGCAGUAAACGAUGCACACUGGGUGUCCGGGCAUGAGCCCGGGUGCCGAAGCGAACGCGUUAAGUGUGCCGCCUGGGGAGUAUGCCCGCAAGGGUGAAACUCAAAGGAAUUGAC
rnacentral:rRNA from 1 species